CAAAGACGCAGAAUAGCAGAGGUGCUUGAAUGAUGGGUCUAUUGUCAAGAUCCACAGGCAGUCACUGAUACGUGGAGGAAAACCAUAACGAGUACAGUGAACGAUUUGCUUACGGAUUCUUCAGUCUGCAAGCGGUAGUAUACAAACGUGUUAUACUAGACGUCAUGCCACAAAACUGAGCGGCUUGCGAAGUUGUCACACGUUAGGUCGUCGGGUUCCUUUACAAUAUUACUAAGUUCACAGCAUUUGGUCACAAGACAAUUUACUGGGCUGAUAUUUUUAAAUUAUGUUGCUUGCGUUGGUUUUUAUAUACAGACACUAUAAAGUAUGUAUAUAUUCUGUUUAACUGUCUCUUCAUCUCGUCUCUGGCGCUGGCCACAAUCGCCUAUAAAAACCAUGUUUUUGGUUUGUUUUAAAAUUAACUGAGUGAAUUUAUUCGGUAAAAAUGCGCGAUUU